rnacentral:rRNA from 1 species
CACGUAGGGCGCGAGCGUUGUCCGGAAUUAUUGGGCGUAAAGAGCUCGUAGGCGGCCUGUUGCGUCCGCUGUGAAAUCCCGGGGCUUAACCCCGGGCGUGCAGUGGAUACGGGCUGGCCGUGGAGCAGGCAGGGGAGAACGGAAUUCCCGGUGUAGCGGUGAAAUGCGCAGAUAUCGGGAGGAACACCGGUGGCGAAGGCGGUUCUCUGGGCCUGUACUGACGCUGAGGAGCGAAAGCGUGGGGAGCGAACAGG